rnacentral:rRNA from 1 species
ACUCAGGUGUUGUUGGGUAGGGGAGCGUUCUGUAAGCCUGUGAAGGUGUGUCGUGAGGCAUGCUGGAGGUAUCAGAAGUGCGAAUGCUGACAUAAGUAACGAUAAAGCGGGUGAAAAGCCCGCUCGCCGGAAGACCAAGGGUUCCUGUCCAACGUUAAUCGGGGCAGGGUGAGUCGACCCCUAAGGCGAGGCCGAAAGGCGUAGUCGAUGGGAAACGGGUUAAUAUUCCCGUACUUGGUGUUACUGCGAAGGGGGGACGGAGAAGGCUAUGUUGGCCGGGCGACGGUUGUCCCGGUUUAAGCGUGUAGGUGUGUGUUCCAGGUAAAUCCGGUUCACUUUAACACUGAGGCGUGACGACGAGGCACUACGGUGCUGAAGCAACAAAUGCCCUGCUUCCAGGAAAAGCCUCUAAGCAUCAGGUAACAUCAAAUCGUACCCCAAACCGACACAGGUGGUCAGGUAGAGAAUACCAAGGCGCUUGAGAGAACUCGGGUGAAGGAACUAGGCAAAAUGGUGCCGUAACUUCGGGAGAAGGCACGCUGACACGUAGGUGAAGUGAUUUACUCAUGGAGCUGAAGUCAGUCGAAGAUACCAGCUGGCUGCAACUGUUUAUUAAAAACACAGCACUGUGCAAACACGAAAGUGGACGUAUACGGUGUGACGCCUGCCCGGUGCCGGAAGGUUAAUUGAUGGGGUCAGCGCAAGCGAAGCUCCUGAUCGAAGCCCCGGUAAACGGCGGCCGUAACUAUAACGGUCCUAAGGUAGCGAAAUUCCUUGUCGGGUAAGUUCCGACCUGCACGAAUGGCGUAAUGAUGGCCAGGCUGUCUCCACCCGAGACUCAGUGAAAUUGAACUCGCUGUGAAGAUGCAGUGUACCCGCGGCAAGACGGAAAGACCCCGUGAACCUUUACUAUAGCUUGACACUGAACAUUGAGCCUUGAUGUGUAGGAUAGGUGGGAGGCUUUGAAGUGUGGACGCCAGUCUGCAUGGAGCCGACCUUGAAAUACCACCCUUUAAUGUUUGAUGUUCUAACGUGGACCCGUGAUCCGGGUUGCGGACAGUGUCUGGUGGGUAGUUUGACUGGGGCGGUCUCCUCCUAAAGAGUAACGGAGGAGCACGAAGGUUGGCUAAUCCUGGUCGGACAUCAGGAGGUUAGUGCAAUGGCAUAAGCCAGCUUGACUGCGAGCGUGACGGCGCGAGCAGGUGCGAAAGCAGGUCAUAGUGAUCCGGUGGUUCUGAAUGGAAGGGCCAUCGCUCAACGGAUAAAAGGUACUCCGGGGAUAACAGGCUGAUACCGCCCAAGAGUUCAUAUCGACGGCGGUGUUUGGCACCUCGAUGUCGGCUCAUCACAUCCUGGGGCUGAAGUAGGUCCCAAGGGUAUGGCUGUUCGCCAUUUAAAGUGGUACGCGAGCUGGGUUUAGAACGUCGUGAGACAGUUCGGUCCCUAUCUGCCGUGGGCGCUGGAGAACUGAGGGGGGCUGCUCCUAGUACGAGAGGACCGGAGUGGACGCAUCACUGGUGUUCGGGUUGUCAUGCCAAUGGCACUGCCCGGUAGCUAAAUGCGGAAGAGAUAAGUGCUGAAAGCAUCUAAGCACGAAACUUGCCCCGAG